UACGUAGGGGGCGAGCGUUGUCCGGAUUUAUUGGGCGUAAAGAGCUCGUAGGCGGUUUGGUAAGUUGGAUGUGAAAUCUCCAGGCUCAACUUGGAGGGGUCAUUCGAUACUGCCAUGACUAGAGUUCGGUAGGGGAGAACGGAAUUCCUGGUGUAGCGGUGAAAUGCGCAGAUAUCAGGAGGAACACCGGUGGCGAAGGCGGUUCUCUGGGCCUGUACUGACGCUGAGGAACGAAAGCGUGGGGAGCGAACAGG
rnacentral:rRNA from 1 species